CAACUCUAAACGGUGGAUCACUCGGCUCGUGUGUCGAUGAAGAGCGCAGCCAUCGAUAUCUUGAACGCAUAUUGCGGCCUCAGGUAAUCCUGAGGCCACGCCUGUCUCAGGGUCGGUUACAAGUCGAUCGCGGUGCAGCUCUCU
rnacentral:rRNA from 1 species